AGGAGAUUGUGGAAGUAGUGCCACUGGUAUCUGAAGUGCUGGAACGAUGGCCUGCCCUGUUUCUUCCAAAUGAGGUAAAAUAAAGAAGGUUGAAGUGGAAUUAAUUGGCUGUAGAUGAUCUUUAAUACAUGUUAUUGUUCUGUUGCUUGUAAAUGUCUGUUGUAAGCCAUUUGAAGCCAGUUAGACAAUGUUACAACCAAGACCUGUUUUAUUUCUAUCAACAGUUAUGUAAUGAGUUCAAAUGCAUCACCAGUGUGGACCUCCUUGAGACAUUCAGAGCAUCAAUACACUAGCACACUCCACAACUCCUCAAGCUAUACAGAGCAAGAAAGGGGGCAUUUGGAACAGAAAUGGAAGAGCUUCUCAACAAUCUUGAUCAGCAGGUAACUUGUUAAUGUCAAAGUUACCAAUAGAUAGAUGGUUUUAAAAAUAGAUUUAUCAGAGCCAUUUGCUAUUUUAUUUUCUAUAAAGAACAUUUUCGGAAGAUAUUUUUGAAGGAUUAUGACAAUGUAUGUCAAGUGUUCACUAGCUGAUUAGAACGAUUUUGGUUCUGAACUUACUGCAUACAAUACUGAUUUCCUAUUUAAGCCAUCUAAUUUGAUUAAUUGGCUCUUAAGCAGAGGCUCUAUGACUUCAAACAUACAUGCAAACUCGUGACAAAAUUGAAUUAAUAACAGUGCAUUACAAUAUUUUUGUUUUUGUUUUGUACCCAUUUUUUUUAGACCACAAAUAUAUCACAGAAAACAAACCAUCCUGGAAGGUCGCCCCAUUUUUCGCCGUGAAGAUUCCUCUGCACUUUUUAAAACAUGCCUGGACAAGACUCCAGAGGACAGACAGACCAGAGGGAUGAAGGUGGGAAUCCUUAUUGUAAUUGAAGAUGAUAUAUAUAUAAUGGAUUUUUAUUUUUAUAAUGUCCUGAAAAUUGCCCAAUUUGGGCGUUUUAAAAGUCAAAAUCAUGAAUUGUGAAACAAAGGUUCCUCCAUAAUCCAUUCUUCUUGUUCAGAUCCUCUGCUUACAAAAAAAAAAGUUAUAUUCCACGCUUGUGGCAUGGAGUGAUAGAAUGGAGUCAAAUUGCUCAAGUCCAGUUCAU
ensembl:lncRNA